AGCAGUUUAGUAGUAAGAAAAAAGACAUAAGUUUUCAUCUGUUGCCUGCUUUUAGUUAUUUACAACACUAAGUUAAUAUAGAAUGUUGUUUUCUUUCUUUUAUUAUAGUGAAAUCAACAAGAAUUCGGUCUUGUUAGACUGGGCUUUUAUAAAACAAAGAUAAUGUAGUCCAAAAGUGAAAGAAACACUCCUGUGUGGCCAUAGCCAGCUUUUCUUUUCUAUCCUCAAUAUAUUACCUAACUUGUGAUAUCAGCAACUAAUUAUAAUUUUUUUCAGUCUACCUGCUUAAAAGUGAAAACAUGAAACAUACCAUAUAUACAUGAAACAUACUAUAUAUACCUCCAGAAGCAAGACAGGUUUUCCAUUCUAAUGGAUGGAAUUAACUGAAUAAAAAUUAAAUGAACUAAAGCCACAGAGAAAUAGUAAAAAAUAAUAGAGUCUAAGAACUACAAGCAUCUACUGUUCUCUUUAUGCUGCAACCUUUCUGCUAAAGAAUGUAUUCUCUAUACUGUGUAUGUGGUACAGUGACAGUUGGGCUCUUCCCACCUGGGUUUGUAAAAACGGAUGGGUGCAGGCUCCUUUGGCCACCAUUAUUGCAUAUUGAUGUUAUUCUGCACAACAGCUGACAAGCAGCAUCGAUCUCCCAGCCUCUGCUCCCAGCUGUAAGGGGUAAGAACAAGGGCUGUGGUGAUAACUUGUUUAUUCACUGCUGUUGCUGUUGCUGCUGCUGCUUCUUAAACAGCAAGCUGAGAAAAGAAUAUCAAACUGACACACAGAGGAAAAAUGGUUCAGACAUCAAUCUACCUCUCAAGGUCUGCUUAUAUCACUAUAUGAUAAAAUUAUUUUUAAAAUAAUUUUUCUUUAAAAAGUGGGGUGGGGAGAGAAAAAAGACAAAAUUGGUGUUUUGAUUAUAAAGGGAACCUAUAAUGUAUGCAAGGAAAAGGAAAUUAAUGACAUAUAUAAUAAUCUUCCCCUUGUAAGUCUAGAUUUAACCGCUCAAUUAUCAAAAUUCUCUGAAGAGUUUUAACCAAUGUUGGGGUAAAUUCAUUGAGAGUAACUUCCCUACCUAUUCUCCUGGAAAAUAAGAAAGUGUAAAACUCCAAUCAAGAAAUGACACUUUAUUUUGCUUACAAAAUGCCUCUAGCUCCCAAGUGCCCCAUAUCUAAUCACCACCAUAUGUUUGACUUUAGACACUAUUAGCAAAGAAAUAAGAUUUUAGUCCAUACUGUUUUUGCAUAAAUCCCAUUAAAAAAACUUCCAUAUGCAAUUUACCUAUUUUAAAUGUGCAAUACAAAGUUAAAAACUUAGUAAGUACAUAGUAUUAAUUGAUGAGUAACAGAAAUAGAAAUAUUCACUGUUCAAUUACCUUUAAAUGUAAUGUGAUGCUAUUUAUAGACUUACAGCUUUAACUGUAAAUGCAACUCAUCUUUUAGAACCUUAAGCAACUUGUGAUUCAGAAAAAUAUAAAAAGUCAGAAAAAUUUGGAGAUCUAUAAACUAUUAAAAAGAAAAACCCACAUAGGCUAGAACUGGCAAGUAAGUUUAAAUAAUAAUACCUAAUCAAGAAGGCUAAGUUUGAGACAUUUUAAAAUAAAAGUAUGAAACAGUAACAAUAUUUUAAAUUUAGAUAUUUUGUAACAAAUCAAAACCCAACCCCAAUCUUCUAUUUUUAUCACAAUUGAAAAAAUUUUCUGCUUAGCAACUCAAUGAGGAACAAAAAAUGUUAAUAAUAAUAAAAAUAAUUCUGAAGACCAGAGGAUAACAAGAUACUUUAAAUAUAUUUGUUUUGUAUGAAGGCUAUAAAAUAAAAAAGACUAACAGCAAAUCCUCAAGCAAGAUUUUUAAAAAUUCAGACACUUAGAAACAGUAAUGGAUUAAUAAACUAUUAACCAGUGGGAUUAAUCAGUCUCAGCAGCCACAUGUGAAACAUGCUUCACAUUUCUCCUCUAAGAUUCUAACCAUGAAAAUAGGAAAGUAAAACUAAGUCAAAUAAUAUGUUAAUGAAGUAUCAAAAGUGUGGUUUGUGGUGCUGUGAAUAGAAAUUUCACUUCAAAAUGUAUUUAAUUUUAAACCUUCACAUUAAUUAAAUAUUACCCUUUGAAAAAUGCUUAUCAGAAAAUAUAAUUCUGAUACAUUAGAUCUCAUUUGAAGAAAAACUGAAAGAGGUUAAGGAUGUUAUUUGCUAGUUUAAGAAAAAACACAAAAUACACACAUGAACAAAACUGCUUCAAAUAAAUAUUUUUAAAACUUUUAUUUAAAAAGUUAAUUGUAUCUAUUAUUUAACAAAUUCUCAUCAAUAUAUAAAACCUCUAUUAAAAUGUCAUAGCUGACAAACUGCCUAAAAUGUAACAUAUCCUUAUAAACUAGCAUUAUACAUCUCUGACAAAUAAUAAUUUUAAGUUCCUUCAUAUGUAGAUAUGUUAAGUUACCUCUAUUCUAGUUUAUUCAAAUAUUCUUUCUAUACUAAAAAAACUAUUUCAGUAAGACAGGAACAAUGAUGGUAUAACUGUAUUUUAGGGACAGCUAAGAAUUUUUCCCAAAAGUGAAUGUUAUUUAACCCUGAUUGUGCAUUUAGCCAAAAACAUAAAUAUUGAAAAAAUGAGAUACAAAUCACUGAAAAAAAGAUAAAAAUUAACACAAUAAAUCUCUUCCCCCAAAUUCCAACAUAAUUAACUACACAUCAAGGCUUAAAUUUAGAUAAUCAGGUUUGCAAAUUUAAAACGGUCAAAAUCUUUACAAAAUGUCUUACAAGGGGUAGUUAAAAGAGAGCCAAUCAUACACAGCAGUUGAACUCUUUGUUAAUUGGCCUCCUAAAAUAACCCAUACUCCUAAUUAGGUUAAAGUUUCUCACCCUGUAAGAAUUGACCAAAUACAAGUAAACUGUUAAUAUUUGUAUUGAUUCUUUUAGAUAUGAAAUUAUUUACUAAGCUAAAUUAUUAGAAGUUUAUAACCCAGUAUAAUAACUAUAGGAAGAACAAUUAUAUGAUGCUAAAUAUUUGUGUUCAAAAUAAGUUUUGAUAUCUUCAAAGAUCACAAAUCACAAACUCUCUAAAUUUGGACGACUCUGUGGAUUUAUAUCUUAUCUACCAUAUAAACUCAAAUGCUGUCUCUCUUUUCCUAUUUAACUCAUUAAGGCUGUUCUAAAGAUACCUGCAUUGAAAGUGACAAACUGAACCUGGAUUUUUUUUCCCAGAUACUCAGGUAACUGUAUUUUCCACUUUUCAUCUUAAUGUUCUCUAACCUGAAAAAUAGCUGUUAAGUCAGUGAGGGAAAAAUUGUAUUUAUUUUCAUUUUAUUCAAACUAAGCUGCUUUUUCAUAAAAAUCUCAAAUCAAACAUAUGAAGACAUUCCAUACCUCAUAUUUAUCUGAACCACAUUACAGUAUGACACCAAUAUAAAAGUAUCUAAACUUCACCCUUAUGUUAAACUCUGAUUUCUAAACAUCUUUACAUUUUAUUUAACUUCAACUGUUAAUUGAUUCAUUCCUGGUUUAUCUACCUAAUAUCCAAUAUAGAAAUAUCAAAUUUCAGUUUUUAGUAUUUUGAUAUGUAUUUCAACAUUCACUCUUAAACACACCUCAGAAUUCAUCUUUAAAAAUUUUACAUUGUUGGAAGUUAAAAGCAGUUCUAUGAUCGUGAUGAUAUACUUCAUUCUUAAGACUAAAUAAUAAUUUUCUCAUGAAAACAAACCUUUGACAUUUCCUCUAAGUAUAUAAAUAUUUUUAGGUGAAAAAAUUAAAAAAAAUUGUAUUAUGUUAGUAAACCUUACUUUAGCAAAUAGUUUUUACACAAAUAAACGCACACAUAUAUGUACAUAUAAGAUUAAUACUUUACUAUGAAAGAAUUAACCAAGUAAUACUUAGUAAUACUGUUCAAUAAGUUCAUUUUCACUAUACCAGAUUACCAUUUUAGAAAAUGAAAGUUGUAUUAGUUAAAUACUGUCUGAAAUUUUCAACUAAAACUAUAAAAAUCACUGGAGGUUUAGGGAUUCUACAAUUUUAUUUUUAGAGUCUGCAACUUUUGAUAUUAACAACUGAAAUAUUUUACUCAGUGUAUGUUGAGUAAGAUACUAGUAAUUUCUGCUUAAGAAAGUGGUUUUUUCAGUUUCGACCAUAUUGCCACUUUUGGUUAGGGCAGUACUUGGAAUACUUUACAUUUUCUUAAAAUAUUCUCAUCAAUUUUACCUAAUUUUGCAGGCUCUACCUACUACUCUUCCACCUGUCAAACAGCUAAGCACUAAAUUCCAUUUGAUUUAAACUCUCCAUUUUAUAAGAUGAAAAGUUCAUAUUUUACUGAGUACACUGUAAUAACCUUAAGAAAAUAAAAAUUACUAUAAAUACAUAUUUUUGGAAUAAAUUCAGUUGGAGUUAGACCUUAGGAUGCUGAGAAGAACAUUACCUGUAUAAAAAAAAAAUCUGGAGUUUUAGUAAGCUAGACAACUCAGCUUAUGGCCACUUCAUAUGAUGAUUUCUGUUUAUGAGUAAUUACUUAUUGAUUUUAGUUCACGUAAAAAUUUCAACUUUACCAAUUGUCUAGUCCGAUUAUAUUGCAAAGACAUAAAAUUAUAUGGUUUUAAAAUUUGUUAGUAUACCUUAAUCUCAUGUCAUGUUCCAAUGCAUUAUGUAAGUAUUCAAUCAAAGAAGUGAGGCUGUUCUCCAGAAUUGGUUCUCUGCUACAGGUCAAAACCUGCAAUAAAAAUGUCAUGUAUUAUAGCAUGAAGACACUCAACAGAUUUCCAUCUCCUGCAGUUCCACAGUUGAUCCCUGAACACAGAGGUAUGGUCUUCAAAAUGACCCUAAUCUUGCCAAUGUUCAGAGAAGCUCUAACUUGAAAAUGUUUUAAAAAUAGAAAUAACUUGAUUAGAAACACCUGUGAUAUGCUUUAUCAUCCGAAGCCUCUUCAAACAAAUCAGAUUAAUAUGUUUCUGCUUUCAUUUCUCUUUAGGGCAUUCAUGUUCAAAGUAGUAUGGGUGAGUGUGUAUGCGGGUAGCUGUUAGAGGACUGGUACAAGAGGAGUUCAUAAAGAAAAUAUCAGAAAUGUAGUUUGUACUUGUAAAACUCAUAAAAUCCACACAGUUUAAAAAGUUACUGAAGGGACAGGGACGAAAUUUUACUUUCUCUCCAAAUUAUCAAAUGUUUUAAUGAUGACAGAAUUUACCAUUCUUUUUUUUUUUUUUUUUUUUUGAGACGAAGUUUUGCUCUUGUUGACCAGGCUGGAGAGCAAUGGUGCGAUAUAGGAUCACUGCAACCUCUGCCUUCUGGAUUCAAGGGAUUCUCCUGCCUCAGCCUCCCGAGUAGCUGGGAUUACAGGUGCCUGCCACCAUGCCUGGCUAAGAAUUUACCAUUAUUUUCAACUUUAGUCUACUGCCAAGCCUAAGUGAAAAGUAUCAGUAUUUCCAAAUAUUUUAAUACAUUACAGUCCUAACAGACCAAAAUGUGGAGUUUUUUUUUUUUUAACAAGUUAACAUAUUUACAAAUAAUAAAUGGACCACUACUGGACCAAAUGGUUUUUUAAUGUUUCUAAGAGAUGUAACUGAAUAUAUGUUAAGUGUUUUUUUUCAUUUCUUUCACCUUUCUGAAUUAUAAUGAUUCAGUGGCAAUCGACUGUAUAAAAAUAUUAAAUUACCAAAGGUGUAUCAUGUAUUACAUGUAAAUCAUAAUGCUCUGAAUAAAUUUUCCAGUUAUAUUUAAGAAUAGCUUAGGAAAAUGAAAGAGUAAAACCUAAAAAAACCUUUAUUCCUCUGUUGCCAAAUAUUUGAUUGUUUAAUGACAAAACCCACACAAUCAUCCAUAACUCAUAAACACCAAUCCAAAUACCAUGACAUUUUAAAAAAUUACCGUCAUUUAUACACAGUCUUCCUCAAAAGACAGACAGUUUUCUAUAUUUGAGCACUCUGAAAAUUAAGGUAUCUUAAGUUUAAAAAUCAUAGAAGGAAAAUAGUAGAAAACAAAAUGUACUACAUGCCAAAUGUUAAGUUUUUAAAUAGUAGGGAGAUGAAAAAUACUAACCAAUAAGAAGCAAAAGAGGUCUGGAUAUAAAUAAAAUAAUAAACCAAUGUGUAUGAUAAAAAAGGCAAUAUUAAAAAACCUUCAAAUAGUAAAACUCAAAUCUAAAAUCUAUUACAAAAUAGAGCUUACUAUUUAUUCUUAGAAACCACUACAAGUUAUUCCAGUACAAAUUUUCUUUACUGAAAUAAGGCAGGAUUAACCAAAGGUAUAGUAAACUUCUUAUAAUUUGAUAAGAAAUAUUAAUAAUAUUCAAAUAUAUAUUUAAUAUCAAUUUCAAUAUUUAAAACUUGUCUUUCUAAAAGGAAGAUCCUUUAAAGCAUCUCUAAUACAGAUCAAAAAAUAAAAACAAAAAACCAACCGAGGCAAAAAAAUAAAAAACAUUCAGUUCCCCACCAGAAAGUAAUAUUUAUAUGAUCUACGAGAUAAAUAAACAUAUAAUAGUAAUGUGAUAUUCUAAAAAUCUAUCCUGUUACUCUUAAGACAAUCAUGACAUUAAAGUUCUAAUACUGUCACUUCCAAAAAUUAAAUGCUUAAUCUCAUUUUCAAUGCUUAUUUGAAAUAAAGUGGUAUUUUAUUACUGAUUUCCUUUGGUGUUAUGAGAUUUGGGGCUACAAAAUUUCAGCAAGUCAUAGUUGAGCUCUAAUUAUGUGCCAAAAUUAGUUGCCUGGCAUACAAUGUUUCAAAGUUUGCUGAAUUAAAAACAAAACAAAACCAAAAACCCCCACGAAACUAUAUAUAUGACAAUUUUUUCUAAGAUGUGUUUUCUAGUUAUAAUCAGACCUAAAAUCUGUGUCUUCUAAAAAGGGGUUAAAAAGAAAUUAAUAUGUGAAUUUUUAAGCUUCAUUAGACAGAAGAAAAAAAACACAAGAGCCAAUUUUAGGUAAUAUUUUAAAAUAAGAGAAAUUUUUAUAGAAUAAUUUUUUGAAACUAUAAAUUUAUCAUCUUCUUUUGAAGAAAGCUAAUGUGUCAUAUAUAAUAAUUAUCUAAUACAGUCUCUGGGAAUUUUUUUUCAUUUUGUAAACCAAAUCAACUGACCCAUAUUUCUGGCUUUAAGUAUUCUGUGACAUUCCAAAUAGUUACUACCUACCAAUAAACAAACAAACAAACAAAAAUACACACAAGUCUCCACAAAACAAAACAAACGAAAAUGUACUACAUAAAGCAUGAUGAAACCAGGAAUCUAGACUAUGAAAGCUACUUUAAAAUUUUUAUCCUUAGCUGUAGUUCAUGCUAAACAUUAAAACUCAUAUUAAUCUGAUUAGAAAAAAUAUGCAGUGUUACAUACAAACACCCGAGGCUACAUUUUCUGAAUGUACAACUAAGACAGGUCAACAGUAUUUUUUUAAAAAGUCUGAAACUGCACUUUUAUUUGAAUUUUUAAAAAUAGUGUGGGGGCAAACAAAUGAAAAUCAAUGCUACCAGGAAGACUGAUACCUUACCAGUCCCCUUUCCCCCACAAUAGGUAAACAUAACUUUAAAAAGGGGUGACCUAUUAUAGCAACACCACACCCCGCAGUUGCUUUCCUAUGGUAAUAAAUGACUUUGUAAUACAAAAUAAAUUACAACUGUCAAUUUCUACAGAGAAAUAUGGAUAAGUGCACAUAAACAUUAAAAAAUACACAUAUGUUGUAACUUAUACCUAUAUGCCCACAAGUCUAAAACCAAAAUCUUCCUCUUAUAUAGCAUCACAUAAAAGUGAAAAUAUUUUGAAUGCUGUGGAUUUUAUUUAGGCGCUAGUGUAUUCUCAAAUUUGAAGUGAUGUAUUUUAAAUAAAGGAAUCACUUCUUUUAAAAAUGGCUUAUUAAACAAACAAUCCUUUACCCAUUACCCCCUAAACAAACAAAAAAUCCCAUAAACCAAAGUGCUAAAAAUGUAUGGUUAUACUUAACCAGCCUGGUGGAAUUUAAAGCUUGCCCCCAACUCUUCCCAAAACUCACGUAAUUUGAAUGAGAAUACAAAACUCAAAACAAAAACCAUCAGUAAAAAGCAAAACCCAGGAGUUCUGGUACUUUAGGUAUAAUUACGUUUAAAAUAGAAAUGAGAUCUCCUAAAAUUUCAUUAAAUCAAAUUUUAUAGAGAAGAUAAUUAGCACCUUCUAUGAAAUUUUCAUAAGAUGACCCAAAAUAAAUAGCUUUGAACAAAGGUAAUGAAAAGGGAUCUGUUAUCACAAUUCUUGUUAUGAGGGCAGUACAAAAUAGUAUGAAUUAUAAACUCAGCUAUUCCACUUACUAAUGUAAAUUAUAUUUACAGCCCUACAGAGAUUUAUAAAAGCCAUAAGAUUUUUUAUUUGAAUAUUUUUUAACAAUGCGUAUUUGACUUAAUGCGAACAUACACACUAUAAGCUUCAAAAUUUAACUACUAUUCAUAAAAGAAUAUAAACGUCUAUUAAAUUAAAACAAUUGUUUCUCAAAGCAUCUACAGCUGUUUAUCAGUUAGUUUGCCGCUGUUCUUUGAAAACGACACCUGCCUUUUAUCAAGAUGCAAUUAAAUGGAAUGACAAGCUCGGUAAUAAAUGGAAAUAUACUGAGGCUGUCUCAGGCAACAUCGAACAAAAAUCAACUGAAAAUCAACCAGAUAAAAAACAGCACACCCACACUGUUGUAUACAAUAUAUUUCUUCAUAAUGAAUUUAUCAAAGGAACUAAAUAAUAGAUACGCACCUGUGCUUACCUGUUGUCUAAAUUAAGAAACAUAAAUGUUUUGUAAAUUAAAGUUUUAGUUCACUGCAGUUACUGAAUUAGCAAAAUGUAUAUUUUCACUAGAUGCGAAAAGUUUUUUAAAUAAGAUGUUCAAUUUUUAUGGAAAAUGUUAAAAAGAUCAUUCGUGAACCUUAAGAAAAUUAGUUUCUUUGCAUCAAAAUAAAAGAAACAACUGUCCGGUAAUCUGCAUCCAACAAAUAUAUGUAGUUUAAGGUGAAAAAUUCCUAUCAAAGGAAAAAAACUAAAUUUUUCACUCAGUUUUUAACCAAUAAAGAACAGUGACAAAUAUAUAAAAGUCUUGUUAAUUUCAACCAGCAGAAACAUAAUUUUGCGAAAACAGCCUCUUCAGUUUUACUUUUAAUAUACAUUUGAGAACCACACGAAAAUCCUUUCUGAGAGGAAAAAAAACUAUUAAAAACCAACUUUUUUUCUAAACUCUCGUCCUAACGUUUCGUAGCUAUUUCCGUGGUUCUCUGGCUAAAAGUAUAUUUUUUCGUAAAGUCGAGAAUUAUAGUUUAGCGUUCAACAUUCAAACCCCCCAGGCCCGCUUCCUUCCAGCCAAUCAGGGGGUAACAAGUCCAGAGUUUAGGGAGCUCCGUUAGACACAAUUUGAAAAACAUCACAUUGCACUCUUCUAUUCUCCUCCGGGAAACAUUCUAAGCGAGGGCGGGUCCCCCAGUCUUCAUAGAAUAUAAGAAAUAAAUCAAUCGUUACAUCAAUUCCACGGGGAAAAACUCUGUAGGCAGGCAGUCCUAAAGAAGCGUGUCACCGCGGUUCCCAGGAAGCGUUAUUCCUCUUUGCGAACAACUGAACAGAAUAGCUGCUGCAGAAAGCAUCUCCGGAAUAUUUGCAACCCAGAGCCGUGCGCCCCACACGCAAUACACCGGCAAAGGGUUAAUCUAGUGGUGCCUCCAGCGCGGAAAAGAACUCAAGAUCUAAUACAUCCUUAACGCGGGAUUUUUACAAAGGCCAUAGAAGUAUUACCUAAAGUUAAUGCCGUCACUGGCUCACAUCACUCAAGAGCUGUGGAGUAAGAAUUGAUAGAAACCACCAGCUAAGGGGGAAAAAAAAAAUCACCGAAGGGAAAGACAAAUAACAACUCUCGUCCCUCCUCCUCAGCGUCAAGAAAAGGUGGGGAUCGCAAAAUUACCGUUAAGUUGUCCGGGUAAAGACUUUUGGGGGAGGAAAACAUUAAUAGUUUCACAGAUUGCUUUUUUCCUUGCGACAUGUUUCAAACACCGGAGAAGAAAAAAGUCUUCUAAGAAAGUGCGACUCGGAGGAAAUAGCCACGAGAAGGAAAUCGUUAGCUCGAAGCCCCAUCUUUCAUCUCACCCGUGAACACUCCUCCCCUUUGAGAAAGGACAACGCUGCGAGAGCAAAUGACAAAAAUCCCCAGAAAGAAGCUAAAGUCCAGCAUCUUUCCUAAGAGCCCGCUACAACCUCAAAAGCCUGCCCCUGCCCCAUCUUGGAAGCGCGAGCCGCGGCCAGUCCUACCUACCUAGAGACCUCACCGGGACCCAGCGCGCCGGGGGAGGGCAGCCAGGGCUUGGGAAACUCUUUCCUGGGGCACCUCACGCUUCAGCGUCAAAAGACAAUAUAGAUAGAUGGGUGCCGGGCGGUGGCGGGGGGGACUGUUGCCACGACCCACCGGAGGGACCCAUGACUCCGGGUCCUGAAUUUUCUGUCGACCUUAAGUUUCUUGUCACGAGAUGACGGCCAUCACCGGGUCGAGAAAACGGCGAGAAAAGGCGGCCCGGUUCGGAAAUGGGGGAGGGGCGCGCGUCCAGUCCUCCUGUCAAGGAGCGGCCGCCUGCAGAGACCCCGCAGUGCGCC
rnacentral:lncRNA from 1 species